CAUAAGAGGUCCUGCCUGCCCAGUGACCACGUGUUUAACGGCCGCGGUACUUUGACCGUGCGAAGGUAGCGCAAUCACUUGUCUUUUAAAUGAAGACCUGUAUGAAUGGCACGACGAGGGCUUAACUGUCUCCUUUUUCCAGUCAAUGAAAUUGAUCUUCCCGUGCAGAAGCGGGAAUAAAAUCAUAAGACGAGAAGACCCUGUGGAGCUUCAGACACUAAAUUAGCCCUUGUCAAACACCCCUUGCUAAAGAGUUGAACACUAUAGGAGUCCUGAUCUAAUGUCUUCGGUUGGGGCGACCCCGGAGAAAAAGAAAACCUCCGCGUGGAAUAGGAGCACUUCUCCCAAAACUAAGAACCACCCCUCAAAGUAUUAGAAAUUCUAACCAACUACACGAUCCGGCAUCACGCCGAUUAACGGACCAAGUUACCCCAGGGAUAACAGCGCAAUCCUCUUUUAGAGCCCAUAUCGACAAGAGGGUUUACGACCUCGAUGUUGGAUCAGGACAUCCUAAUGGUGCAGCCGCUAUUAAGGGUUCGUUUGUUCAACGAUUAAAGUCCU
rnacentral:rRNA from 1 species